rnacentral:rRNA from 1 species
UACGGAGGGGGCUAGCGUUGUUCGGAAUUACUGGGCGUAAAGCGCGCGUAGGCGGACCUGCAAGUCGGGGGUGAAAGCCCGAGGCUCAACCUCGGAACUGCCUUCGAUACUGCGGGUCUCGAGUCCGGGAGAGGUGAGUGGAAUUCCUAGUGUAGAGGUGAAAUUCGUAGAUAUUAGGAAGAACACCAGUGGCGAAGGCGGUUCACUGGCCCGGUACUGACGCUGAGGCGCGAAAGCUAGGGGAGCGAACAGG